AACCCAUGGUGAGGACACCUUCUCAGUAAGUCCUUGCAUCUCUCACAUGCAUCGUAAAGUGUUUCUAAAUCCAUCUGCACAAAAGAAGAGAUAUCAUUACGCAAUUU
rfam:Gossypium hirsutum cultivar TM-1 chromosome 10, whole genome shotgun sequence